AAGUCGUAACAAGCUUUCCGUACUGCGGAAGGAUCAUUACGUUAACCCCCUGUGAACCUUCACCUGUACUCGUACGUCCGUUAGAAAAAGCAGCAAUCCCUGGUAAAUCAUCGAAGGAGCGUGCAUAUUGUAGUGGCCUGGCAUCCCCAAGCAGCUAGUGUCUGAAAGUGUCAUUAACUGUGUAAGGAUGAGCAGUCACGAUCGUUGGAGGCCCACACGGCCGACGACCCCACUGUAACAAUGGCC
rnacentral:misc_RNA from 1 species